UACAGAGGUCUCAAGCGUUGUUCGGAUUCAUUGGGCGUAAAGGGCGCGUAGGCGGCGGGGUAAGUCGGGUGUGAAAUCUCAGAGCUCAACUCUGAAACUGCACUCGAUACUGCUCUGCUUGAGGACUGGAGAGGAGACUGGAAUUCACGGUGUAGCAGUGAAAUGCGUAGAUAUCGUGAGGAAGACCAGUGGCGAAGGCGGGGCUCUGGACAGUUCCUGACGCUGAGGCGCGAAGGCCAGGGGAGCAAACGGG
rnacentral:rRNA from 1 species